CAUUUGAUGUUUUUAGUCUUACUUAAUUUUGUUCUUUGGGCCAUUUGUUCUCUCACUCUUGUUGUUCAAAGCCAAUUUUGCAGACUAGUUUCAGCUUUGAUUACAGACCGCUGCAUGAUGAACGCAAUGUGAAAUGACUGUAGCU